GCCUUUGGGUCACUCGUUCCAUCGUACUCCAGGAAACGGAGUCUCCCGGCGUCUAAGAUGUGACAAUGGGCGAUCCUAUCCGUGAAUGGGGUGCGCCUGGUUUCUUCGAUCACUCGAUCUAUGCUAGAUGCAUUCGUGCCCGUCGGCGACGUUAUCGUUUGCGAUCUGACUUGGUACGCUAGAUCUCAUUGAAUCGGAUGAAUUAGGAUCCAUGAUCGUUGGUCACAAUUGAUGUGUUAGUUUCGGUGUUGGAAGGAUCUAUUUCGGUCCCCACAGACGGCGCCAAAUGUGGGUUCUGAAAUCCACAGUACAGAUUUGUAAUUGAGAUUAUGAGAAAGGAGGGCUAGAUCUUCACAGGAACAUUGAGAUUUAUAUUGCUAAGAACCAAUGGACUUGUGUAUUGAUUAUCACAGAGCUUUUACAAUGUGAAAGGAGAUUACAAGUGUAAAAGUGUAAGUGUGAAUGUAAAGCUGAAUUUAAUGUCUUCCAAGUCGUCCUUGCUUUCUUAUAUAGAUCUACGCACGUGGUAGCUUCGUCCGGGAUCUGCGGAGAUUCUCUUAGAUAUUCGGCAGGUCAAUUCCAAGAUAUCAGGUCCAUUCUGCGAAUAUCUCCCUGUUAGUUCCUAGGUUGUUAUUCGCUUAUCUCCCUUCAUCAGGUGACCGGGCUUAUCAGGCCCAAGUACCGAUUUGCGUACGUGGGCUCAUCAGUUGCGCAGGUCUUCUACUUGGUGGGCUUGGUGGGUUGGC
rnacentral:sRNA from 1 species